rnacentral:rRNA from 1 species
GAGGUCACACCCGUUCCCAUGCCGAACACGGAAGUUAAGUUCUCUAGCGCCGAUGGUAGUUGGGACUUUGUCCCUGUGAGAGUAGGACGUUGCCAGGC